rnacentral:lncRNA from 1 species
UGCAGUCUUAUUAUAGUGUAGGUAGGCUUCUUGUAAACUUUCCUCGCAAUUGUAGUCCAUUUGAUAUCCGAGCGGUCGACCGUAGCGGACCCGCCAUCAGUUUAUUCGUCGGAUGUUUUUCGGUUUUAUAAACUAUGUGACGGGCCGCACCAUUUCCCUCUCAUCUCAGCCCAUCACCCCUACACAGCCCAAAUUUAUCCCAGCUAGCCCCCUCCGCAUACGAACCAUCCGAUCGAUAUCAAACGGUCCAAAAACAGACUAAAUUGGCUAACCCUAGCUACCCCUCGUCUAGUAUUGGAACCAUAGCCCCUGUGCCUCGAUUUCGGCGCAACCAGCCCCAACCGCCAUCGCGGCCCGCCGUGGGCUGCAGCAGGACUGCCCAGGCCCGAGCUCGUCCGCCGCUACGCACGCCCCGCAGCCGAGUACCGCACCCCACUCCAACCCCACCGUUAGGGUGCUCCUCUCGCGCGCCGCACCUACGCCGCGCUGCUGCCCGCCACCUUCGCGAGGAUCUUUGUCAUCCAGCAUGCUACGCCUCCGUGCAGGAGCGACGCCGCGCGACAACCUCAGCGCCGCCGGUCCCCGCGCUUGGCGCCCAUGGCCACAACAACAUGACCUCGCUGCCCCGUGCCAUAGCGCCUCGCCUCCGACAAGAUCGAGGAUGGCCGCCCCCGGAUCCGGCGACCCCCAACCAACCACGCCUGUCCUCGUGUCUCCGACCGCCCCUCGCCGUUGGCUGCCCGUCGUAGUCGCCCUGCUACUUGAGCAGGAACGCUCGCGACCGAUGCGAGACGCACGCAGGUGGGCUACGGCUUGACUCCCUCCCAGCUCACCCUGCCCUAGAUGACCCGCAAGCCAUCGCCAAGCCAGACCAGCCG